rnacentral:rRNA from 1 species
GACGAACGCUGGCGGCGUGCUUAACACAUGCAAGUCGAGCGAUGAAGCACCUUCGGGUGUGAAUUAGCGGCGAACGGGUGAGGAACACGUGAAGAAUCUGCCUUCAACUCUGGGAUAACUCCGGGAAACCGGGGCUAAUACCGGAUAUGAGCCUUGAUCGCAUGAUCGGGGCUGGAAAGUUUUUCGGUUGAAGAUGACUUCGCGGCCUAUCAGCUUGUUGGUGAGGUAAUGGCUCACCAAGGCGACGACGGGUAGCCGGCCUCAGAGGGCGACCGGCCACACUGGGACUGAGACACGGCCCAGACUCCUGCGGGAGGCAGCAGUGGGGAAUAUUGGGCAAUGGAGGAAACUCUGACCCAGCGACGCCGCGUGAGGGAUGAAGGCCUUCGGGUUGUAAACCUCUUUCAGUAGGGAAGAAGCGAAAGUGACGGUACCUACAGAAGAAGCACCGGCUAACUAUGUGCCAGCCGCCGCAGUAA